rnacentral:lncRNA from 1 species
GAGUGGAAAACACGUAAUUCAGACCGAGGCAGAAGAAUCUUUUGAUGACUUGGGUAGCUUUUUGGUUUUUCAUGUCCUCAUAUGCUACUACAACACAAACGUAGAGUAAAGUGACUUGAGAACACAAGUUUUGAUGAAAAGCUACCCCGUAGACUCCACGAGGCCCGCAGGAGGGGGCGAUGCCUCAAAUCACACGAAAGAUGGUCUAGAGAAUUUGGAAUCUUGGAUGAUGUCAUAAAAUGUGUACAUAAAGAUGGUUUUAAGAGGAAAACAAAAUCCAAGUAUCUGAUGUUGCACUUCCUUCGCAAACUAGACGAACCCGCACGCAAGUUCCAGACUUAUGGGGAAAAGUCGCAAUUCGGACGGACGGAGCAAAAUUCUUUAAGAAAUUGGGUAGAUUUUUGGUUUUUCAUGUUCAAAUGUCCUAAUAGAACAAAAAGGAAGAGUAAAGUGACUUGAGAACACAAGUUUUGCUGAAAAGCUACCCCGUAGACGCCACGAGGCCCGUAGGAGAGGGCGAUGCCUGAAAUCACACGACAAACUGUCCAGAGAACUUGAAAUAUUUCAUGAUGUCAUCAAAUGGGUACAUAAAUAUGGUGUUAAGAGGAAAACACAAUCCAAGUAUCUGAGGUUGCACAUCCUUCACAAACUAGACUAACCUGCACGAACGUUCUGCAAUUAAAGGGGGAAAAGUCGCAAUUCGGACAGACGGAGCCGAAUCCGUUGAGGACUUGGGUAGAUGUUUGUUUUUUCAUGUUGGCAUAUCCUAAUACAACACUAUGAUAGAGUAAAGUGGUAUGAAAACCCAAGUUUUGGUGAAAAGCUAGCCCGCAGACGCCACGAGGCCCACAGGAGAGGGUGAUGUCUGAUUUAGAAUCGACGCAGCUGAAAUUAGCGAGGACUUGAAUUAAAUUUUUGGUUUUCCAGUCUUUCGGAGGUGCUCAUAGGGGUAGUAUGUGUAUGUGUGCGUUCAUAGGGGUGAGUGUAUGCACGUGUUGUGAGCGUCUGCGUUUGUACUGUGUUUCUAAAAAAAAACUGGAAAAAAAAAUGGAAAGGUCCUUUGCCGGCGGCUUUCUAUCGGGCUGCCGGCAAAGGGUGCCUAAAAAAACAAAACACCCCGCCCCCCACCCCUUCUUUCUCACUCUCUCUCUCUCUCUCGUGUUCUCUCCUCGCGCCCGACCGCCGCCUUCCGUCGCCGCUGCCGCCGCCCCCGUCCCCGCCCCUCG